GAUGAAGAACGCAGCGAAAUGCGAUAAGUAAUGUGAAUUGCAGAAUUCAGUGAAUCAUCGAAUCUUUGAACGCACCUUGCACCCUUUGGCAUUCCGAAGGGUAUGCUCGUUUGAGUGUCAUUGUACUCUCACACUCUCCGAUCCUAUGGAUUCGGGGAGCGGUGGACUUGGGUGUUGCUGCCUUUCCUUGUGGCUCACCUCAAAUGUGUCAGUGCACCUCUUGGUUGGACAUAGUACGACGUGAUAAGUGUCUUCGCCGGCACCUCGCAAGAGGGUGGCCGAUCGGGAGCUCUGUGCUUUCAAACCGUCUUCGGACAAUUUCUGACAACUUGACCUCAAAUCGAGUAGGACUACCCGCUGAACUUAAGCAUAUCAAUAAGCGGAGGA
rnacentral:misc_RNA from 1 species